rnacentral:rRNA from 1 species
CAGCCGCCGCGGUAACACGAAGGGUGCAAGCGUUAAUCGGAAUUACUGGGCGUAAAGCGUGCGUAGGCGGUUUGUUAAGUCUGCUGUGAAAUCCCCGGGCUCAACCUGGGAAUGGCAGUGGAUACUGGCGAGCUAGAGUGUGUCAGAGGAUGGUGGAAUUCCCGGUGUAGCGGUGAAAUGCGUAGAGAUCGGGAGGAACAUCAGUGGCGAAGGCGGCCCCCUGGACAAAGACUGACGCUCAGGCGCGAAAGCGUGGGGAGCAAACAGGAUUAGAUACCCCCGUAGUCCCUGUCUCUUAUAC